rnacentral:lncRNA from 1 species
UGCAUUUUUGGAAUCUUCUUUUUCCAAAAAAUAUCAUUUUUUGGAAUUUCAUCAGUUGAUUUGUAAGGCGAACCAAGAAAAUCCUUGAAGGAAUAAACUGACUUAACAAGUUUGUGUUGAUUCUUUUUGUUAUCCAUGGAAAGAAAAGCAACAAAAAAAAUGAUGAAAAUCAAGAUUUUUUUUUUUGGAAAGAAAAAUAAGAUUUUUGUGUGAAGAAUGGGAUUUUAUGGGUUUUUAAGACAAGAGAAUUCUUUGUAAUGAUGAGGAAAACAACAUAUAGGAAGGGGUUUAUAUAGAAAAUGAAAUCAAGAAAUAGGUUUGUUUCUUUUGGAAAGUAAAUUAAUAUUUGUCUUUUGUUACUAAAAUUUGAAGGAAUUUGGAAUUUGGAGAGUUGGUUGGAUUAUGAUAAUUGGA